rnacentral:rRNA from 1 species
UCUGGUGCCAGCAGCCGCGGUAACUCCAGCUCCAGUGGCAUAUAUUAAAGUUGUUGCAGUUAAAAAGCUCGUAGUUGGAUCUGGGUCGGAUGGCGGUGCGUCGUGCUUGCCUUCUCGGGACGGCAAAUGCCGGAUCGGGUUGGUGAGUCGGUGUCACGGUCGUUCGGUCUUUCUGCCGUGUCUGUGUAUACAGGUGCUGGCUUCGGCUAGCAUGCUUCCGGAUGCCUUUCAACGGGUGUCGGGGGCGGACGGCAUGUUUACUUUGAACAAAUUUGAGUGCUCAAAGCAGGCCCGUGUGCCUGAAAAGUCUUGCAUGGAAUAAUGGAAUAGGACUUCGGUUCUAUUUUGUUGGUUUUCGGAUCCGAAGUAAUGGUUAAGAGGGACAGACGGGGGCGUUUGUAUGGA